rnacentral:snRNA from 1 species
GUCGCUUCUCGGUCUUUUGGCUAAGGUUAAAGUGCUGCAUUUGCCCUUAUCAGCUUAAUAUCUGAUAUGGUUCCUAUUUGGGGCCAUUGAUAUUAACAUAAUUUUUUGAAGGAGGCGAAGAGUUAGUGGAUUGCUCUGCCUUUGCCGCGAAAGCACGAAAGAAGGUGGUGAACUGGUAGAAUCGUUAUGGCGGUGGGUAAAAUGCUUGGCGGCAUUUCAUCCGUC